rnacentral:rRNA from 1 species
GACGAACGCUGGCGGCGUGCCUAAUACAUGCAAGUUGAGCGAUGAAGAUUGGUGCUUGCCCCAAUUUGAAGAGCAGCGAACGGGUGAGUAACGCGUGGGGCAUCUGCCUUUGAGCGGGGGACAACAUUUGGAAACGAAUGCUAAUACCGCAUAAUAACUUUAAACAUAAGUUUUAAGUUUGAAAGAUGCAAUUGCAUCACUCAAAGAUGAUCCCGCGUUGUAUUAGCUAGUUGGUGAGGUAAAGGCUCACCAAGGCGAUGAUACAUAGCCGACCUGAGAGGGUGAUCGGCCACAUUGGGACUGAGACACGGCCCAAACUCCUACGGGAGGCAGCAGUAGGGAAUCGUGGGCAAUGGACGAAAGUCUGACCGAGCAACGCCGCGUGAGUGAAGAAGGUUUUCGGAUCGUAAAACUCUGUUGGUAGAGAAGAACGUGGGUGAGAGUGGAAAGCUCAUCAAGUGACGGUAACUACCCAGAAAGGGACGGCUAACUACGUG